CCUACGGGAGGCAGCAGUGGGGAAUAUUGGACAAUGGGCGCAAGCCUGAUCCAGCCAUGCCGCGUGAGUGAUGAAGGCCUUAGGGUUGUAAAGCUCUUUUGUCCGGGACGAUAAUGACGGUACCGGAAGAAUAAGCCCCGGCUAACUUCGUGCCAGCAGCCGCGGUAAUACGAAGGGGGGCUAGCGUUGCUCGGAAUCACUGGGCGUAAAGGGCGCGUAGGCGGCCAUUCAAGUCGGGGGUGAAAGCCUGUGGCUCAACCACAGAAUUGCCUUCGAUACUGUUUGGCUUGAGUUUGGUAGAGGUUGGUGGAACUGCGAGUGUAGAGGUGAAAUUCGUAGAUAUUCGCAAGAACACCAGUGGCGAAGGCGGCCAACUGGACCAACACUGACGCUGAGGCGCGAAAGCGUGGGGAGCAAACAGGAUUAGAUACCCUGGUAGUCCACGCCGUAAACCGAUGAAUGCUAGCUGUUGGGGUUGCUUGCACCUCAGUAGCGCAGCUAACGCUUUAAGCAUUCCGCCUGGGGNGUACGGUCGCGAGAUAAACGUUAAAGUAAGUAGACGNGUGAGACGUGCCGACGGACGACGACGAGGGAGUAGG
rnacentral:rRNA from 1 species